UAGCUCAUUAAAUCCCAUUGGCAUUGCAUUGCAUUGGCAUUGCAUUUGUGCAGGAGCCGGACAGCGUCUCGGCUCACCCACAGCAUCUUCUGGCCAGGCAUCUCUGUGAGGCAUCUGGCAGUACUGCCAGAUGUCUGCCAGAGAGUGGGGAAGAGAAGGGACCAGCCCAGGGCCUCUACCUAUUAAUGAAGAUCCGUUAGGCAGAGUAGCUGUCAACAUUAUAGUUGCGCAUGCACUUUGAUGACUCUAGAGAACCUCGGGCCAAUCGCACAUUCCCGUGACAGCGACGACGCAUUCGGAUGUCUGCCCUAUCAACUUUUGAUGGACUUUCUGCGCCUACCAUGGUGAUCAUGGGUAACCGGGAAUCAGGGUUCGAUUUCAGAG